rnacentral:lncRNA from 10 species
GUACGUGGGCGGGCGGAUCGUGGUGGCUGCGCUUGCGAGGACCCUGAGGUAGAUUGGGUGGUUUCAACAGGAACGCAUCCACUGUCUGAGAGGUGGCAAUUGAAGCCGGAAGAACAUCUACCAAGAGCAGAGAACCCAGGAAGAAAAUUCUGCCUCUUUAAUACGUUCCAAUAUGGACGUUUUCCAUAUAGAUACCUAUCUAUAUAGAUAGAUGCUCUGGGAUCUGACGGUCCUGGACACCUGUAUGGCUGUGUGCUGUGGUCUUUGCCUAGCCUGCGGUUCACUUUUGCUCUGGCCACCACCUCCCCUCAUGUACAAACCGCGUCUCUGCUCUGCCAGUCUUGGCCCCCGUCAGGCAGCGGUUCACUCCCUCACCAGGGAAGUCUAGAUAGAUAGAUAUAGAUAGAUAUCGAUCGAUAGAUAUAGAUAUAUAUAUAGAUAGAUAGAUAGGUAGAUAUAUGGAUAGAUAUAGAUAUUUGGAUAGAUAUGUAGACGUCUAUCUAUAAAUAUAUCGAUAUAUCGGGGUUCUCAGCCAUCCCAAAGAAGCUUGCACAGGGCCAGUUGCUUUAUGUCAGGAAAAGGGACACAGACUGAGUGUAUGAGGGUUUUUUUUUUCUAUAGAUGUAUAGAUAUUUAUAUCAGAUGCAAAUAAGUGAAACUCUCAUACAACUUUUAAUUUUGUGUUUUUUCCAAACUCUAUUCCAUUCAACUUUUUCUGCCUUUUUAUUUGAUUAUAAUGAGACAUCGUACUGGAGGCAGGCUUGAAAUGGAUAUACAGAGCACUUUCAACCCAGAAAUUUGUCUCACGACUUGGGGUCCUUACUUAAGUUGUAGCUGUUAGUAAUUUCAUCCAUGAAUUCACUUUGUGCCAUAGUGUGAUGUUUUGUUAUGAAGUUGGAAUUGGGAAGGGAAACUAGGAAGUUUUGGGAGAAGUUAAGAAGGUUGAGUAGGCAGGCGUUGUUAUAGAUAUUAAAUUUCACCCUGCUUAUCAAAGUACCUGGAGCGUAUGGUAUCCAAGCUGUAAAUGGCCCAAAGGAAUCGGGGUUCUCAGCCAUCCAAAAGAAGCAUGCACAGGGCCAGUUAUUUUAUGUCAGGAAAGGGGACACAGACUGAGUGUAUGAGGGUUUUUUUUUUUGUUUUUUUUUUUUAGUUUAAACUUGAUUUUGUGAGGGGACGAACAGCGUGACAAUUAAAAGAAGAUCUGGGAAUCAUCCAAUGUGAUAAUUUAUGUGAAAUCUUUCUGCAAACUAUACAGUAUGAUAAAAAUAUAAGGUAGUUUCACUGGAAACAACAGAAGACUAGAAGCUGAUGUGACGUGGCAAUAUCAACCAGGAAUACCCAUCUCGAGUUCUGGAUAUGUGCUCUGAGAAGGUGCCCAUGUCACCGACCACACUGGAGGCCAAUGCAGAUACUGGGGGAAGGUUCCAUGGUAGCUAAGUGUGGACAAGCUAAUCACUGAAGUUCCCUGAUGCAGAGUUGAUAAUCUCUCUAGAGUUGGAUGAAAGACUGUGCUGCCUUGAAGCUCUGAGAGAUGCCAUGCCAAUUCAAGGCAGGGUCUUUAUUGUUGAAACUCUUGCGUAAUGACAUCUUUAUUCAGGUGAAAAUACAGGAUGAAUUUCAACUAUAUGAUAUUGUUUAUGUUCCUCAGACAUGUUAUUUGUCUUUACAAAGAUUGGUUUCAAUAAACUGUGUGACUGAUAUUAAAUAAACAUGGAAUUUUACACAUUCAUAAUAUUUGGUUUCUUGUGAUUUUGAUGAACUAUACUUUCAAGCAUUGUCAGUUCAUCCUCAUUUACAAGGAAACAUUUGCUGUAGCAGAGUGAUGUAGUGACUUGCUUUACUUAAGAUAAGUCAACUUUUCUAUUCAAUGUUUAAUGUGAAACUGACUUAAAAAUUUUCUUUUAGGCCACAUUUACAUUUCUGUUUGUAUAACAUGCAUUAUACUAUUUUAACUUAAUACUAUGGCUAUAUAAACCAAAGACAUCCUAAUUCUGUUUUUAAUUUAUUGUUUUGCAAGAUAAAUAAUUUUUAAUGCACUAAUGAAGCUAAGGAGUUCAUAUUAAAAGACAUGUUAUAUGACCUACUGAAGUUGAGCUAUG